rnacentral:misc_RNA from 1 species
UACGCCAAUACAAGUGUCGUCUGCUCGCAAGUGAUGUUGGAAUGGAUAUGGAAUUUCAACUGUGAUCUAAACAUUAUCAUUCUUACUGUAGUAGUACAAUAAUAAUAACAACAAUAACAUCAAUAAUAAUAAUAAUAAUAAUAAUAAUAAUAAUCACCGCCACCAUCAUCAUCAUCAUCAAUAUAUUAUAAUCAUGUGGAGGAAUAAUAUAAUAAUAAUGAUAAUACAACAUACCAACUUACUCUAAAAUCUGUGACAGAUAUAUAAACUAUCUAUCAAGUUGGACACAAUUAAAUUCUGUUCUGGAGUUAGAAUUCUAUUUGUCAAAAGAGAUUGCCUUUGUUCCAGUACCACUAAUCCUCCCCAAAACAUCUCCGUACAGACAUUUUCCCCACUUAUAACUUUUCCCAAUAAUCUGUGGAGAUGACAUUAGCAGUUACUUCAGUAAACUCCAGUUUGAUUGGUGAUGGAGCAAGUGAGGGCUUCAGUGAUAUAGCAAUUAGGAGCCGCUUGCCUUUACAAUGAACUUUUCAGAAGCGAUGACGUACAGACUUAGAAAAGCUACUUUUGUGCACAUCACCUGCACGAACCAAAAUCCCUAUGUUUGAUCCACUGUAGAUAUGCAAUAGACAAGAGAUUUGCUGAGUUUUGCCUGCCACUUGAUGAGCAUGGAAGAUGGAAAGUACCGAAGGAGAAGAAAAGUAGACACAACCAGAAGAUUGCUUCUAAUUUUAAUGUGUUGUUAUUCUACCAUGGGUCAACAAGUGUACCGAUGGAAAACAGGUGAAUGGGGCCCAUGCGAACAUCGUUGGUGUGGCGAAAAUGGAACAAAAACGCGGACUUUGAAAUGUGUUGGUGUAUACGGAGAAACAGUGGAUAUAGCGAGAUGCGAUAACGUCCACAGACCGGCAACACAGGAAAACUGUUAUAAGCCUUGUAAUCAUCACAGAAGUAAUUUCAACUGGGAAAUUGGUACCUGGGGAAAAUGUAAACCAUUUUUGCCAACAUUAGCUUGUAAAAGGCAGGUGGGUCUUCAGACUCGACCUGUCAAAUGUUUCUCAGUGAAAGACAAAAAAGUAAGAGAUGAUGAUGUAUGUAGUUACUUCUUAAGAAAACCCAACACGGAAAGAGAGUGUCAGGUCUAUUGCCCGCAGGACUGUAUUGUUAGUGAAUUUUCAAACUGGAGUUCUUGUGAUUCUUGUACUUACAUCAAUAAAACAAGAACGCGAACUGUGGUGGUUCCUCCUUUUGCUGGUGGUAAACCUUGUCCUGUUCUUUCUGAGAUGAGACCUUGUCCAAAAUGCAUCGAUUCUUUUACAUUUAAAAUUGGACCAUGGAGAAAAUGUAAGGAAAUUCACACUAAAAAUUCAGUUCAUAAACAAAGAUUUCAUCAUUACAUUGGAUACCAGGAAAGGGAUAUAAGUUGUCUUGGGCGACAUGGAAGACUUGUUCCUCUAAAAGAUUGCUGGGAGACAGGAAUAGUUCAUGCUGAUUACCAAAGUUGUGUAUUACCUCAAGACUGUAUAGUUUCAGAAUGGAUGGGAUGGAAAGCUUACAGUGAUGGUUGUCAAACUAUUGAUGGAGUAAUAUACAAAUCGCAUGUUAUAAGAAAACGGAAAAUUUUACAAAUGCCUCUUGGUGAUGGAGCUAAGUGUCCAAAUCUAGAAGAGAUUCAAGAAAAUAAUACGGCAAUCAGAAGGCUCAAACGCUGCCCUAUCUAUCACUGGAUUGUAUCCGGAUUUGGUUUAUGUAAACCUUCCUCUGUAACAACAAACUGUGGUCCUGGUCUGCAACAGCGCACAGUCAUAUGCGUAGAGGAAACUGAUGAUAACAAGCAAGUUCCAGUAGCAGAAAGUAAUUGCAAAGAGUCAAAGCCGUCAUUAUCAAAAGUCUGCCAUAUCGAAUGUCGAGCACGAUGCUUGGCAUCCGAAUGGAGUGCUUGGAGUAAAUGUAAAUCUAUUUCUUGCAUUGGAGAUCAGCUUCAUCGCAAAAAGCGACAACCUUACUCAGGUUAUAGAGAAAGAACACUUAAAAGUAUAUCCACACCAAAUGGAGGAAAUGCCAAGUGUCCCACUGUUACAGAAACUCAACCUUGUGAUCCAGGUCCCUGCUAUUCUUGGAAUCUUACUUCAUCUAAUAUUUGUUCUCUUGACAGUUCUGAACGACUGUGUGGACAGGGAACAAGACACAACAAACUUUUGUGUACUGAUGUGCAUGGCGUUCAAAAAGAUGAAAGCCUUUGUGACAGCUAUAGUCGGCCAAGUGAUAAAGAAAGUUGUCGGAUUCCCUGUCCAAUGGAUUGUGUUUUAUCAGAGUGGAGCUCAUGGACUGAAUGCCCUGACGAAUGUGACAAGAAAGCUCGAGCAACCAACAGAGAUCGAAGACGGAUGGUUCUAGCCUUCCCAGUGGCAUCUGGUCCAGCAUGCCCACCUUUUUCAUCAUUGAAAGAAAGCAGUCCAUGUCCAUCAAGGCUCGAGUGUAGAACAUUUUCAUGGGUAGCAAUGGCUUGGAAACUAUGUAUACUUGGACAAAGUGUCACCUGUGGAACAGGACAGCAACGUCGUGAAGUCAAGUGCAAGAGUGAAGGACGAGACGUUGAUGACAGCUGGUGUGUUAGAAAUUUAAAGCCUAAUGAAGUGCAGACUUGCCAGUUACCAUGCCCACGAGACUGUGAAGUAACUGAUUAUUCUCACUGGUCACCUUGCAGUGCUACUUGUCAAGAAGCAAGACAAGCAACUCCAACUCAGUCUCGGAAGAAAUAUAUCCUACAACCAGCGGACGAAGGAGGAAAACCAUGUCCAAUGAAGCUGGUGGAUACGAAACAUUGCACUGAUUUACCAUGGUGUGAUGAGUAUCUUUGGGAGGUCACUCCGUGGAGUGCCUGUGUGUUGCCGCCACGAGUGCCUUAUUGUGGACAAGGAUUACGAGGAAGAAAUGUUACUUGCAAAGAUCAGCGUAACAGUAGUUACCCCCCUGAUGUCUGUUUGGAACGAGUCGGGCCCAUGCCGAUUGUAGCAGAACAAUGUUUUGUACCUUGUGAUGAAAACUGCUUCCUAACUGAAUGGACUAAGUUUGGCCCAUGUAUUAAUGGUUGCAAUGGCUAUACAAUCAGAAUUCGUGAGUUAACUAGUAAAAGCAAGUAUAAUUCAGAAUGCAAGAACCGUGAGAGAUAUCCUCGCUAUCAGAGAAGGCACUGUCAAUGUGAUCCAUUUCAGCCAGUAGUUAUUGGUAAUCAAUCAGACUGCAUAAUCGAAGAACCAGUAAGAACCACCCCGGUAGAUAAAGUUGACACAUCACAGCUUUUCUCUCCAUUUUCUCCUCAAGGGCCAGAGAUGCAAUCAACAACUGAUGAAGAAUCUUUGCAACAAUCUGACUGUGGAGAGGGAAAAGCUUACAAAGCAUUACUAUGUCUCAACAGUAAUAACAUUUUGAAAGGAACUUCCCAGUGUUCCCAUGCAGGUCCACAAAAUCCAUGCUGCACAUUUCAGUAUAAAUUCGAAUCCUGUUCUAUUUCUUGCCCAGUAGAUUGUCUGAUGUCACAAUGGAGUUCUUGGUCUACGUGUAAUGCUUCAUGUGGUUAUGGCUUCCGUGAGAGGUACAGAACUGUUGAGCAGAGCCCUCUAUAUGGUGGAAGGCCAUGUCCAAAAUUAGGCAGUAAGGAUACAGAAAGUUUUCGGGCAGAAAUACAAACCAAACUUUGCAAAACUGAUUGUAAGGAAUAUGUGUGGAGACAUGAUGGAUGGGAUUCUUGUGUGUAUCAAUCCCCAGCCACUUGUGGAAGGGGCAUACAAACACGUCGUGUAAUGUGUGUUGAAAAGGAAGAUUUGUCUCGAAGCAUAUCACUGCAAGACUCUUACUGUGAUGAGAUUCCAAAACCUGCUGAACAGCGUAUUUGCAGUACUCCAUGUAUUAGGGAAUGUGUUGUGAGUGAAUGGUCUGAGUGGACAAAAUGUGAUGUACCCUGCAAUAGGCAACAAACUCAGUGGAGAACACGAAAAGUUUUACGAGAACCAGAUAAAUAUAGGCGAGACCAUUAUCCUUGCCCAUCUCUCCGAGAAGAACUUUAUUGCAUUAAAGGCAAAAACUGCAGGGAAUUUAUUUGGAACGUUUCAAAAUGGACAUCCUGUAUGGUCAAAGAUGGAGAAGAACCCUGUGGUUUUGGCAAAAGAGAGCGCUUUAUUAUGUGUACUGAUUAUUAUGGAAAAUUACAGAGGAGUCACUACUGCUAUGAAGUCGCAGGAAAACCAAAAUUUAAGUUACAAGAAUUUUGUGAAAUUCCUUGUGAUGAGAACUGUUUACUUUCAACUUGGUCAUCGUGGGGCCCUUGUAGCAAAUCUUGUGGAUUGGGUACAUCACAGCGACAAAGGUAUGUUCUAAAGAAAGCAGUUGGGUAUGGCAGGCCAUGUUCCAGUCAGCUUACUCAAAGGAAGCCCUGUGUAUUACGUGGUUGUUUUAGAUGGGAUGUUACAAAUUGGACCGAAUGCUUUACUGAGAAAGGAGUUUGUGGACACGGGGUGCAAAUAAGGAAUAUUACAUGUACAGGAGAAGGCAAAACACAAGUUGACGAUUCGUUUUGUAAGGCCAACCGGAGCAUAGCUGCAAUUAAGACUAAACGAUCAUGCUAUAUCGGAUGCCCUGGAGAGUGUGUUCUAACGGAAUGGAGUGAAUGGAGUGCAUGUUACUUAAACUGUCGGGACAAAGGAGUUGCAGAUCAUGAGCGAGGAAUCCAGAGUCGAUCGCGAGCAAUUCUGGCUUAUCCUGCUGCAAGAUCCACACUCUGUCCUACAAAACUUUACGAGAGUCGCCCAUGCCAUGCAAAGAAUUGUUUUACUUUCCGGUGGAAAUAUAGUAAAUGGGAUAAAGAAAAAAGACAUGUAUGGUGUGAAAGAUCUGAUUCUCUAAAUGUUACAGGUGCUUGUGAUGAAACCACUUAUCCUGGUGACACGCUUAACUGUGAUCCGCCUUGUCCUGGCAAUGACUCAAAGUGUUCUGAUGUAAAUGUGUGUCAGUGUCUAACUUCCUAUGAGCCAAUCUAUCGUGAUAAUAUCCUAAUUGGCUGUGGCCCACCAACAGUUACUAACACACAAACGAAGAUCACAACAAAAGAAAAUAAUCCCAAUAAUUCAUACAAGAGAGGAAGCAUGUCAAUUUGGAUGUACGCAGUGAUUGGUGGAGGUACUCUGGCUGUUGCAGGACUGACAUACUUCUUCUAUGCUAUAUGUGGAUUAUUUCGAAAAGGCCCACGUGACAGAGACAGCCGAUCGCAUGGUCAGGAUACAACUUCACAACAUCUUUCAAUUGAUGAACAAGCAGUUCAAUGCAAUCAUGUCCAGGCAUUUGUUGAGGCUCAGCAAGAAAACAAUGAAAAUUCUUCCCGCCAAAUAGCAGGCAAAGUUGCUGUUAGCACAGUAGUAUGAACGACUGACACUACGCCGCCCCUCAUUGUUGUCACUAUAUAAUGUACCGUCAUCAACAUGGCCAUCACACAAAACUGCAGUUGAACAUAAGACUUGCACUGCCAGCUCACCCAACCUUCAAAGGGAUAACAAUAUCCAUGGCAACAAGUAUGUAUGAUACACUUGCCAUUGAUGGAGCAGAGUAUUGAUGCAGAUGUGUCUGAAAAGAGUCUGACAAAAAUGUUGGAUUUUACCAGUGACAGAAGUGACAACUCCAAUAUCCCAAAAUAUAUUGAUUGGCAAGAAGAUUUCAAGAAAGUUCUGCCUCUGCUGCUGUCUGAGUAUAUUCAGUAACAUUUUCGCUGACCAGCCAAUCUGAAAUUAUCUCAACAAUUACUGGAUAUGUUUUGAGGACAACUUCCAACAACAAUCAAAAAUGGAGGUUGCCAAAUGUCGAAGCUCACCAAAAUCAAAGUCGAAAUCAAGUAGAAAUUUGAGCUUAUCAUCACAUAAUUGUCUCAGAGUCUAUUCUGAUGUUGAUGUAGAAUUUCUCACAGCAUGCAUGGCUAUUCGUGAUGCAAACCACUCCAACAUGUUUAAAGAUCAUGUUGUAACCAUUAUGUUCAUAGGAUUCUUGUUCAGAAUUUUGUUAUUGUCUUGGAGAGAGAAAAGUUACUACUUUCAAAUGGGAUGGCACAACCAUGUGCUAAAAGGGAAUGCAGAGCGAGAG